rnacentral:rRNA from 1 species
AGCGUAGAUGGAUGUUUAAGUCAGUUGUGAAAGUUUGCGGCUCAACCGUAAAAUUGCAGUUGAUACUGGCUGUCUUGAGUACAGUAGAGGUGGGCGGAAUUCGUGGUGUAGCGGUGAAAUGCUUAGAUAUCACGAAGAACUCCGAUUGCGAAGGCAGCUCACUGGACUGCAACUGACACUGAUGCUCGAAAGUGUGGGUAUCAAACA